UACAGAGGUCUCGAGCGUUGUUCGGAUUCAUUGGGCGUAAAGGGCGCGUAGGCGGCGGGGUAAGUCUGGUGUGAAAUCUCGGAGCUCAACUCCGAAAUUGCACUGGAUACUGCUCUGCUAGAGGGCUGGAGAGGAGAUCGGAAUUCACGGUGUAGCAGUGAAAUGCGUAGAUAUCGUGAGGAAGACCAGUGGCGAAGGGCGGAUCUCUGGACAGCUCCUGACGCUGAGGCGCGAAGGCUAGGGGAGCAAACAGG
rnacentral:rRNA from 1 species